ACGUACACUCCUGCGGGAGGCAGCAGUAGGGAAUCUUCCACAAUGGGUGCAAACCUGAUGGAGCAAUGCCGCGUGAGUGAAGAAGGUCUUCGGAUCGUAAAGCUCUGUUGUUAGAGAAGAACACGUGCUAGGUAACUACUAGCGCCUUGACGGUAUCUAACCAGAAAGUCACGGCUAACUACGUGCCAGCAGCCGCGGUAAUACGUAGGUGACAAGCGUUGUCCGGAUUUAUUGGGCGUAAAGGGAGCGCAGGCGGUCUGUUUAGUCUAAUGUGAAAGCCCACGGCUUAACCGUGGAACGGCAUUGGAAACUGACAGACUUGAAUGUAGAAGAGGAAAAUGGAAUUCCAAGUGUAGCGGUGGAAUGCGUAGAUAUUUGGAGGAACACCAGUGGCGAAGGCGAUUUUCUGGUCUAACAUUGACGCUGAGGCUCGAAAGCGUGGGGAGCGAACAGGAUUAGAAACCCGAGUAGUCCCAUG
rnacentral:rRNA from 1 species